UACAGAGGGGGCAAGCGUUAUUCGGAAUUAUUGGGCGUAAAGGGCGCGUAGGCGGCCAUUCAAGUGACGGGUGAAAGCCCUCGGCUUAACCGAGGAACUGCCUGUCAGACUGGAUGGCUUGAGACCGGGAGAGGUGAGUGGAAUUCCCAGUGUAGCGGUGAAAUGCGUAGAUAUCAGGAGGAACACCAAUUGCGAAGGCAGCUCGCUGGGACGUUACUGACGCUGAGACGCGAAAGCGUGGGGAGCAAACAGG
rnacentral:rRNA from 1 species